CUGGUUGAUCCUGCCGGAGGCUACUGCUAUUGGAAUUCGACUAAGCCAUGCGAGUCAAGGUGUCUUCGGACGCCGGCAAACGGCUCAGUAACACGUAGGUAAUCUACCCUCAGGACUGAGAUAACCCCGGGAAACUGGGGCUAAUGCCAGAUAGAUAAAAGAUACUGGAAUGUUCUUUUAUCCAAAGCUUUUGUGCCUGAGGAUGAGCCUGCGCCCGAUUAGGUAGUUGGUGGGGUAAUGGCCCACCAAGCCUGCGAUCGGUACGGGCAGUGGGAGCUGUAGCCCGGAGUUGGGGACUGAGACAAGGCCCCAGGCCCUACGGGGCGCAGCAGGCGCGAAACCUCUGCAAUGCGGGAAACCGUGACAGGGGGAUUCCAAGUGCUCAUGCAUUGCAUGGGCUGUUCUUUGGUCUAAGUAACCAGAGGAGUAAGGGCUGGGCAAGACCGGUGCCAGCCGCCGCGGUAAUACCGGCAGCUCGAGUGGUAGCCGCGAUUAUUGGGCCUAAAACGUUCGUAGCCGGAUAAGUAAGUCUUUGGUUAAAUCCUACGACUUAACCGUGGGAAAUCUAGAGAUACUGCUUGUCUUGAGACCGGGAGAGGUUGGAGGUACUCCCAGGGUAGGGGUGAAAUCCUGUAAUCCUGGGGGGACCACCUGUGGCGAAGGCGUCCAACUGGAACGGCUCUGACGGUGAGGGACGAAACCUAGGGGAGCGAGCCGGAUUAGAUACCCGGGUAGUCCUAGGCGUAAAUGAUGCGAGUUAAGUGUGGGGGCAUCUACGAGAUGGCCCUGUGCUGUAGGGUAGCCGUUAAACUCGCUGCCUGGGGAGUACGGUCGCAAGGCUGAAACUUAAAGGAAUUGGCGGGGGAGCACCACAAGAGGUGGAGGCUGCGGUUCAAUUGGAUUCAACGCCGGA
rnacentral:rRNA from 1 species